AGUGAACGCUGGCGGUAGGCCUAACACAUGCAAGUCGAACGGCAGCACAGUAGGAGCUUGCUCUUACGGGUGGCGAGUGGCGGACGGGUGAGGAAUACAUCGGAAUCUACUUUUUCGUGGGGGAGAACGUAGGGAAACUUACGCUAAUACCGCAUACGACCUACGGGUGAAAGCAGGGGAUCUUCGGACCUUGCGCGAUUGAAUGAGCCGAUGUCGGAUUAGCUAGUUGGCGGGGUAAAGGCCCACCAAGGCGACGAUCCGUAGCUGGUCUGAGAGGAUGAUCAGCCCCACUGGAACUGAGACACGGUCCAGACUCCUACGGGAGGCAGCAGUGGGGAAUAUUGGACAAUGGGCGCAAGCCUGAUCCAGCCAUACCGCGUGGGUGAAGAAGGCCUUCGGGUUGUAAAGCCCUUUUGUUGGGAAAGAAAAGCAGCAGGUUAAUACCCCGCUGUUCUGACGGUACCCAAAGAAUAAGCACCGGCUAACUUCGUG
rnacentral:rRNA from 1 species